UGGCAGAGGAAGGCAAGCCUGUCCCUGUCCCCACCAGGCCCCGGCCCAGAUAGAGCCAUGGGGGGCUUUGCCUGGCAGAAGCACAGAUUGUACAAUCUCAGAUUUCAGAGUCAGAACUGGCAGGGGAAGUGGCGUCAGCAGCUGGCGUGAUCCAAUUCAAUAAGCCAGGGACGGCUUGGGGUAAGAGGCAGGCCAUGGAAGGACCCCCGCCCCCAAUCCCUGCAUUUCCUGCACAGUCAGGGUGUCCCAGGAAGCCCUGAUCCCAUCCCCUGCAGAAAAAAACAAACAAACAAACCAGAGUUUCCCCGUGGCGCCCUCCACACCCCUCUCUGGGCCACCCGGAGAGCCGGAGAGCCGUGAGCUCCCCACCACCCCUCUCUCCAGCUGCUGGAACCGCUAAAGCCCUGAAGGGGCGAGGGGUGCAGAACCCUCCACUACCCGGCGGGUCUGGGCGGGACCUUCUAGGCCUCAGGCACCUCUUGGAAGGAAGAGAGUGAUCCCUCCUUCAGGGCCUAAGGUAGAGAUGGGGUAGGAAGGAGAGGGCAGUUAGCGGGCAGUGAGCGUCCGCACUAGGCAGCUGGGAAAGUAUAGCCUUAGAAGUCUGGGGCUCCCGCGGCCCCUGGGGCGGCGAGACAGCCUCCCCCACCCCACCCCCACGCAAGCCCCGCCUGGAUUGCCCGCGUGAGUCUGGUGGGGCUGGGGGGUCACCUCCCCCCCCAAGCCUCCCGACCCUUGGACUCCACAGUAGAGAGCGGACCCCGCGUUCGAGGAUCACACUGGAGCGCGGGGCCUCCACUUCCCUGCAGAGGAGCCGUGGAGAUAGAAAACGGUGGGGGAAGCGGGGUGACAAGGUGGACAGCUGCGCCCUCCCCGGCUGGCGCCCAGGGGUGAGAGGUGUGGCGGGUUUACCGCUCGCUCACCUUCUCCUGCGCCCGGGUCAGCUUCUUCUGUACGUUGCUGGCGAUCUUCCCCGCCGUCACCCCCUUGCUCCCCAUCUCGGCCAUCGCGGCGCCGGCCUCGCCCGUGGCGAGCGCGGAUAAUGGCGCGGGGAGGCCGUGCGCGCCGCGCUCCCAGCCUCCAGCCCCGGCCGCUCCACCAGCCCGAGCUCUGGCUCCACGCCGCGCACUCGAACAGCUCGGGGGACUGACGGAGACGGAGCCUGCGCGGGGAGAGCGAGGCCAUUCCUGGAUCCCGAGCCUCACCGCCCGGGAGGAGGGAGCCUGGGGGCGGGCGCCGUGGGGCUGAGGGACGGGGACACCCCCCACGGCGUGCUAGCGACUUCGCCUAGGGCCGGGAACUACCUACGCUGUCCCCAGUUCAGCGCCACUGCGAUCCUGCGGCUUAAAGUCCUCCUCCCAAGCAGAUACCGCCUGCAACCCUGGAAAGCUGAGGAUGACUGAACUUCUGAUCCUCCUGCAUCUACCCCCUAGACUCUGAGGUUACAAGUAUGUGCUGUGGGGCCCAAUUGAUGAAGUGCUAUGUGUAGGUCCCAGAGCCUCAUGCAUGCUAGGCAAGUGCUCUAGCCAACUGAGCCACAUCCCCAGGCCUGUCAAAGCAAUUUCUUCCAACACUCCUUGCGGAAAGAAAUGAGCAGAAGUCAAAUUCUAUUACGGUCAGCCCCCGGGAAGAGAAGAUUCUGCUUCAUCGGGCUUUUGGUCUUUCAAAAUAUGACAGAAAAAUACAAAGCAGCAGAGAUGUUCCUCGGUGGAAAAGGGUCAGCCUCGCCAGCCCAGCAGUAAGAGAAGCCAUGAGGGGAACCUUUCGCAAUCAGGACACAAUAGGAAAGUGAUGCCCUUGGCAUAAUUAUAAAUGAAAAGACAGCCAGAGAUAUGCAUGUGUUUUCCUUAAAUCUAUGUAGGAAUUAAUCAGAUGCCUAGGAUCAAAGACUCAGAACAACUAAACAUCAAGAAAGAAGACUGAGGUCCUAACUCCAUCUCCAGAACUCAAAUAAAAAAGCCACGCCAGCCAGCCAGUGAGAGACCCUGUCCCAAAAACCAAGCCCCUGAGGAACCAUAGCCAAGCUUAGUCUCCCACCCCACCCCACCCCCACACACACAUACAAACACACCCGGGGUGGGGGCAGCCAGACUAGUUAGCACAUCCCAGGUAAAGGCGGGUAACCCUGUCUCUAAAAACGAGUAUAUUGAGGAAUGAUGUCCGAGAUUGUUGUCUGGUCUCCGUGUGCACCCAUACACACAGAUACACACAUACGGAAAUUCCAAACAUGAAUGUUAUGAGGAAACUGUUUUUGAGAACAGUAUUUGGGAAGCAAAAAUGUGGUAAGAGAGAAAUCAAAUGCUUAACAGGGAACAGAGUAUGUGCACCUGAGUUUAGAGAGGCCGAGAAACAAUGUUUGCAUGUUUCUAAUAGACUUUAUGUUUCAGAACAGCUUUUUUUUUUUCUUUUUCAAGAUUAAUUUGUUCUAACUUGUGUGUAUGUGCAUGUGACUGCUGUUGCCCAGAGAGGCCAGAAGAGGGUUUCAGAUCCCAUGGAGCCAGAGUUACCGGCAGUUUUGAUCCACCCAACACAGGACCAUGGAAACAAACACGGGUCCUCUGCAGGAGCAGAACACGCUUAACUGCUGAGCCAUCUUUCCAGCUCCCUUUAGAACGGUUGUAGGUUUACAACAAAACUGAGCCAAAGACACAGCAAUUCCCCGUGUAUCUGCCCCUCACAGCCAUGCACUAGCUUCGUUUCUGUUGUUGUGAUAAAAUGCCUGACAAAAAGCAAUGUAGGGGAGAGGGAUUUGCUUUACCCUGAAAUUCCAGGUUUUAGUCCCUCAUAAUGAGAACAGCACAGUCGCAAAUGCUUAAGGGACUUAGUUUCAUCAAAAGCUGAGAGAAUAUCUACUUAAUGCUCAGCUAGCUUUCGACACUCUUUUACAACCCAGGGCCCAACAAUAGGAAAUGGUGCCACCCAUUUUCACAUGAACUCUUUUUCCCAUCACCUAAGGCCAUCAAAAUAAUCCCCUACAGACGUGCGCACAACCCUCUUAAUCUAGGCAAUCCCCCACAGACAUGCGGACAUGUGCACAGCCCACUUGAUCUAGACACGUACACACACAGACAUGCCCACAGGCCCGCUUGAGCAAGACAACCCUCCCCACACACACACAGACAUGCACACAGGCCAGCUUGAGCUAGACAGACUCGCACAGAGGUUCUCUUUCCAGCUGAUUCUAAAUUGUAUCAGGUUGACAGUUAAAACCAACCCUAACGUGUAGCCUUCCCCACCACCAACAUCUGCAUCAGAGCGGCCCCUUUAUUAUAGUUGAUGAACCUGAUAAUCUCAGGAUCCCCCAAACUGUGUAUUUCCAUUGAGGUUCAUUUUUGGUGGUAUGCAUUCCAUGGAUUUAGACAAGCGUACAAUAACUAUAGCAUCAUAAACACCAUAUAUGGGGCACUUAACUGUCUCCUGUGUUCCAGUUAUUCACCCCUCCAUCCCCAACUCCUAUCAACCCAUGAUCUGAUCACACCCCCACUCGUGCACCUCUUCCAAAAUGUCAUAUAGUUGGAACCACACAGCACAUUACUGUUUCAAGGAUAUUUGAUCCCAUUGUGAACCCCGAGAUUGUGAACUGUAAAACCCUGUUUCAUGUUUGGUGUGGUUGAGCCCUAUCACACACCUUUCAUCCAAGAUCUUUCUGUUUAUUGUAAACGGGUGGUUAUGGUGUGGUUCAGCCAUCCCUAGCACACACCUUUAGUCCAAGAGCUCUCUGUACAUGGGAUUUGAUAAAGUUAACCCUAGGUCAAGAGAUGGAGCAAGAAACCAACUGACUGGGAUUAAAGAGUAGGAGGAAUUUUGAGUACGUUGAUGGGUGUUUAAGACAGCAUGCUGAAGUGGAAGGAGCUUUAGCUCUAUAGCUCUUGAGCAUUAGCUUUCUGGCCUUUGGGGCUUUUUGAGCUUUGAGCUAGCAAGCUUUUGCUUUGAGUUUUUCAGUCUUUACCUUCUGGGCUGUCAGCUGAGCUACUGAGCUUUUUGGGUUGUGGGGUUUUUUGUUUGUUUGUUUUGUUUGUUUGUUUGUGUGUUUUCCAUCUGGGACAUGAGCUGGGUAGGAAGACCAGCUGGGUGCUUCCACUGCCUCUCUGAGCUAGCAGGUUUUCACCCCAGCAUCUGGCUCCUGAGUCUUCAUUGGUAAAAUCCAACAGUUGGGAUUUUCAUUCUUUAUAACAACACAUUACCCUUAUGGAUUUGAGAGUCCUAGUUCACUUCCGUCACAGGUGUAGGGAGACAGCUCAGUGGUUAAAGUGCUCAUCACACAAGACUGAGGACAAAAUUCUGGAUUGCGGAAUCCACAUAAAUGCUAGCUGGGUGUGAUAGUCCGCCUGUAAUUCCAGCCUUAAAAAGCAGAGAUAGGGUCACCGGAGCCGGUCAGCUAGUGGGACUAGCCCUGUCAGCCAGAUCUGGGUUUGACCGAGAGAUAUCAGUGACUAAGGUAGAACAAUCAAGAAUGAUGUAUGACAUCAACCUUAGCCCUCCACAUGCAAACCCAUGCAUUUGUAUAUAGAUAGAACAUAAAGGGGGGGGAGGGCUGAGAUCCCUGUAUCUUCCCGUGGCCUGAUAGCUCCUUUCCUUCAGCCCUAUAUAACAUCCCAUUGUCUAAAACACCACAGCUGUCACACUCACCUAUUACGGGACAUAUUUUUUGUUUCUAAUUUUGGAAAAUUUUAAGCAAAGCAGCUGAAAACAGCCAUACUUGGUAUUCAUAAACAGAAAUAGACUCCCUUGGAUUAGUAUUAAGAAGUACUUACUAUUGCUGGACCAAAUGACAAGAAUAAACUCAGUGUUGAAAGGAUUUCCCAAGCUAGAGUAUCUGGAUGAUUUUGCAUUCCUACCAGCAAAAGUUGAUUCUUAGCACUCUGUCCACACCCCAUCAGCAUUUUGGUACUGUCAGUGUUCUGGAUUUAGUGGUUCUCAUAGAUGUAGUGAUGUCCAUUUUAUAGCCGUGCUAAUGAUGGUAAUUUUUUCCUUGCAGAGAAACAGGAUUUCCCCAUGUUUCUUUUAUGCUUUAGGUUGUAAAUCUUUAAUGGCUGAAUUAUGAAUUUAUUUCAUAAUUCAAGAACAGAAGAAUAUUAUUUAACUAUCUCAUUGUUAUCGCUUAUAUUUUUAUUAAAAAGUAUUAUUUUGUUUUACGUGUGCAAGUGUUUUGCAAUUCAUGCACACCUAAUGCUGGAGGCCAAAAAGGACAACAGAUUCCCUGAGUUAUAGGUGGUUAUGAGACACCAUGUGCAUUAUUGGAAUCGAACCUGGGUCACCUAUACUCUUGAUUAUCAGAUGCUAACCAUAACCAGUGCGGAGCCUUUUCAGACUAGCCUCUUUCACUUAGUAAUAUGCAUUUAAGAAUCUUUUGUUGUGGUAUCAGAAGGUGCCAUGAAAGUUUUCAAGGAAAAGAAGCAACCUGCCCAGCUAUGAUGCCUAUGAACUAAAACAAUGAGUCCACCACGGCACAAAAUCCCUAAGGGUUUAAUAAAGGUACGAGUACCAUCAGCAUCUCUCUAAAUGGACUUAAAACCCAGUCACCAAGAGGGAAGUCAUGCAUGGUACUGGAAACCUAGCCAGCUACCUGGGGCUGGUGAAUUCAUGGAUCUUGAAAGAGAGCCUGCAACUGUCAUUUAUUAAAACCAGCAUAAUGUCUACUUACGUUCUAAUUAUUUGUCCCCAUGCCCACAUGUAAGUAUAGUUUUCAUCCCCAACAAAGAAAUGUCUCUUUGCAACAGGCAGAGACCAUUACAGAAAAUCAGAAUUGAUUAAAAUGCAAAGAACAAGUUAUCUUAUGGUGCCUAGCCCCAACUGAUACAUCUAUUAACACAACUCCAGCAUCAAAGGUCAAGGGCUAGGGAGGAAGAGGGAGAGGAAAGACUGUAACAAUCAGAAACACAGAGAGUGUACUGUGAGAGCUCAGCUCCUAGAAAUGUCAGAGAAGCUGCACCUACAGUCUCAUCAACAUGGCUGCCUAAACAGAACUGAACAAGGGAUACACCAAUAGACAUGCUAAUAUGGAAGGUGGUCAUCUACCGGGCCUCACCCAGAGACGAAGAACUACAGGCAACUGAGGAGUGCUGAGAGCUAGAGAAAUAAGUCUUCUCCAGCACCCCUACAGUGGAUGACAGACUGGCCCAGGAGAACUGAAUCUCGAGAGCCCGCUGACAAAGAGAAAAAAGAGAGAGACCCUGCCUCAAAACAAGCUGAAAGAAGAAAACUGAGUCUGGAAAGUUUUUCCCUGACUUUCACAUGCCAUAUCCACAUCUAAACUCACACACACAUCAUAAAUAAAUAAAUGUUUUAAAAGAAGUUCGAGGUCACAAAAUAUUGCUAAAUGGAAGUUGAAAAUCCUGAAAGCUUUCUCUCCCCAAGGCACUGUUGUGAAAAUGAGGAAGUGAUCCCCACAGAUACACCUGCCUGUGAUGUGCAGAUCUGACAAAAGACUUGUAUACAGAAUACACAAGGACUUGCUCUAAUUCCCUAAUAAGAAGAAAUAGAUUGCUAAAAACAAGCAGGCAAAUAAUUCAAAGGAACCCUUCCCCAAAGAAAAUCCACAGCUGCCAAUCAGCACAGUACAAUGGUUAAUACUGAUUGUCAACUUGACGAGAUCUAGGACCACUUAAGAUGCAAACUCCUGCGUGGGUCUUUCCAUAUUUUUGUCUUUUACUCCUGUCUGUUCUACUACCCAAAUCCAUAAUACAUAUGCAAAAUCCAGCUAUGAAGCCAUUUCAGUGUUUACGUCCUUGGUGACUGUGUGUCAGGACACAACUGGGUGGAUAGAGGUGGUCCCCAACUCCAGUGCUCAGGCAUCACAGCUUUGCCCAGACAGGCUAUAUCCAGACGGGACUCUAAAUUUACCUUUUUCUAAAAACAGGUGUACAUAGGUACACACAUACAUGCACACACACACACACACACACGUCUCCACCCAGACCCAGCUUCUCCCCACCAGCAUCCACACCUUGGAGACUAAGGAUCCAGACUCAGGUCCUUGUGUCUGAGCAGCAGGCACCUUAGUGACUGAUCUGUUUCCCAGCUUCUAGCCCCAAUUGGUAACCCAAUGGUGAACGAGGAUGUGUGUUCUUCUUCUCCAAAUGGUGAUUAAAGUUGUGGAGGAAAUCACUCUUGUAGGAAAAGAAUCACUUCCUGCUCAGGCACCACAUUGAAGACUUGUAACACACUUUGCAAAAUAUUGCUUUUCCCCUGAGUACAGGAGACUCCAUUAGAGAGCCAGAGCCUUCAGCUCUGACUUAGGGAGAUAGACACACAGUUAACAGUGGUACCCAGUAUCAUCCUUGGGUCUGGGCACAGACCAAGCAUUCAGAAAAUGUGCCAUGGAAGGGCUGUAGGAACCAUUCGUCCAACCUCAGAUAUGGCGCUCAGCACUGGGAAGAGAAUGGAAAGGUCCUGGCCCCCUAGAGCCCGAUCCCAUCCAUGGCAAGUGUAUCUGUCUAACCUUGUCCGCCUGUCCAUCUUCUCACUUAUGCCUACUCUUGUCACUUUCUCUCCUGUGGGUGCCUGUUCCCGUGGGGGUGGGUUCAUGUGCGUUUGAGAGGAAAGCCACAAGUGUCGUUCUUCCAGUACUGUCUAUUUUGGUUUUAGAGGUAGGGUCUCUCAUUGGUCUUAACUAAUCGGCUACACCCCAAGGAUUGGCCCAUCUCUGCCUCCCUAACUCUACGAUCACAAACAUGAGCACUGGGCCCAGCCCUUCUUUCAUAGUGGUUCUAGGGGGUAAAUGCAGGUUCUCAGCUUGCAAGGCGUGCAGCUAAGCCAUCUGCCCAACCAUUCUCUACGCACUCUGGCUAGGGUCUGGACAGGACUCAAGCAUUUUAAGUCAUAUUUCACUCAUGUUUUUUUCCUGACGCUCUCUGUCUCGCUUCUGAAGUGAACACCUACUAACUCCGCCCGGCUACCCAAUUCCAGGAGCUGCUGGAAGCCCCGGGGACACAGCUGGCUGGACCCUGAGGACGGGCUCGCUGGGACAGACAGACGCACAUUCACCCAAGUGCAGGUUUGGCCAGGUCUGAAAUCUACACAGCAGGCCAGCAGACUGGAAACUCCUUUGAUUUCUGGUCACACUCCAGCUAAUGCUUUCAAUUCCAGAAGACUGCAGUUUUGGCUAGCCCUGCCUUUAUCUGACAGCACAAGAUUCACCCACAUUACAAAGGGCUGCCGUUGUGACUGACAUUACCUGACUACGUAUGCCAAUCAUAGCUACAAAAUUUCCUCCUCCUGCAGCAGCUCUACCAGUGUUUAACAAAGCAGGGUCCAACCAUACCGAUAUAUAAAACCAACAAGCACAAAUAACUUCUUUUUUCCCCCAGCAAUAACCUCCAGCUCAUUGCUACAGACUGCAUGUUUGUGCUCCCCACCCCCAAAUUAAUGUGUCGGAUGAAAAUCUUUUA